rnacentral:rRNA from 1 species
UACGUAGGGGGCAAGCGUGUCCGGAAUUAUUGGGCGUAAAGGGCGCGGUAGGCGGCUUGGCAAGUGGAUGGUGAAAUCCCUCGGCUUAACCGAGGAACUGCCGUCCAAACUGCUUUGCUUGAGACCGGGAGAGGUGAGUGGAAUCCCAGUGUAGCGGUGAAAUGCGUAGAUAUUGGGAGGAACACCAGUGGCGAAGGCGGCU